GAUUCUGGUAAUUAUACCGUUUGGUGGAUAGUUCGGCUCAAGUGCUGAUGAAGGACGUGCCAAGCUGCGAUAAGCCCAGGCGAGGCGCAUGGAGCCAUUGAACCUGGGAUCUCCGAAUGAGACUUCUUGAUGUGACGCGAGUCACAUCGAUCCUUCGGGAUCGGGAACGCUCCGAAUUGAAACAUCUCAGUAGGGGCAGGAAAAGAAAUCAAUUGAGAUGCUGUGAGUAACGGCGAGUGAAAACAGCAGAGUUCAAACCGAAUCUUUCCUCGAAAGAGGAUAGAAAUGUGGUGUUGUGAGGCAGAUCAUAUACAGUCCAAACUGGUGAAGUCGAACUCAUCUGGAACGUUGGGGCAUAGAGCGUGAUAGCCGCGUAGACGUAAACCAGUGGAUCGUGAUCUGAUCCUCGAGUACCGUGGGUCGGAAAUCCCGCGGAAAUCUGGGAGACAUCAACUUCCAAAACUAAAUACAACUUGAGACCGAUAGCAGAGUAGUACCGUGAGGGAAUACUGAAAAGCAUCCAAAAGAUGGAGGUUAAAAGUGCUUGAAACCAAAUGGUGAUAGUGGGGUAUGGCAUGAAAGGAUCUUCGCUGUGAAGGAGGCAGUCGUGAGGCUGUAGUACGAGCGGCGUUGCCGAUGUCAUAUCAUACGUUUUGAAGAACGGACCAGGGAGUGUAUCUUGGUGGCGAGACUAACGCUUGAAAAGCGGAAGUCGAAGCGAAAGCAACACGCGCGUAGCCCGUAAGGGCAUGGCGCGGGGUAUACAAGUGCCCGAAGUCACUGGGGUACGACCCGAAGCCGGGCGAUCUAUGCGUGGGCAGGUUGAAGCGUGGCGAAAGCCGCGUGGAGGACCGAAAGCGGUACUGAUAUGCAAAUCGUUCGCGUGACCUGUGUAUAGGGGUGAAAGGCCAAUCGAGCCCGGCAUCAUCUGGUUCCUUCCGAAACAUGUCGCAGCAUGACCUGAUCGGAGAUCGUUAGCGGUGUAGAGCACUGAUUGGGGGUGUCGGGGGAGAAAUCCCUCGCCCCUCUGUCAAACUCCAAAGUCGCUAUCAUCGUAGAAGAUCGGAGUCCGGGCACGGGGUAAGCUCGUUGUCCGUAAGGGAGACAACCCUGACCGUGGUUAAGGUCCCUCAGUGUCGGCUAAGUGUUAAAGAUAAAGGGCGUCCCAGGCCAUAGACAACUGGAAGGUUAGCUUAGAAGCAGCUAUCCUCUAAGGAGUGCGUAACAGCCCACC
rnacentral:rRNA from 1 species